UCGUGGGUUCUAUCAACAGAUCAACAAGCAAAAAUGCCAUUUCGAGACAUUUAUAGAUAAAAAUGACGAGAUAGUAAUAUUAAAUCCAUUGACGAUAAAGAGAAAAAAGAUUCUGAAAUCGGAAUGAAGGCAUCAACAACCUAAAUACACUAGAUGCACACUGAACCAUCUUGUGUCUAAAGAGUUGGGGAUACAAGUCCAUGUCUGCUUGGUUGAAUUAAAUGAGGUCAGGAUUCCAACAAAAUUACGAUUGGAAAAGAAUAUUUAAAACUAACACUGACAAGUGACAGCUAAUUGGAAUUGCACACCUAAUUGGAAUUGCACACAUUAUCCUGUGGAAAGUUUGAUUUCUUGGUGGAGACCCAACCAUUUGUGAAGAGUUCAGAAGACUUCCAAGAUGACUGCUGUUGUUCGUCAAAUAAUUUCAGCUGACAAAUUUCCAUUCUGAACCUCAAGAAUGUGUUAGUCCUAUACUAGGAAUGCAUUGUCAAGUUAGCUAUCAACCCCAUAUCUUUCUCCAAACUUCUGUUUAAUCAUAAUAUAUGUAGCUUAAAACAUUUUUUAUCAUUACUUUUAUAAAUUUUAUACAGUAGGAGAUGACCAAACGAAGACAUCUAUAAAUUUUUAAGCAGUGUGGAUUUUUCUGUAUCCAACAUUAUUGUUGCUAUAUAAUAAUUUAAACUGUAAAUUUUAUUGUUUUGCUUUCAUACUAGAAUUUACAAAUGUAAUUAACCACAGUAGGAUGACACAUGCAUAUAGUUAGGAGUUGUAUCUUUUUAUCCAUA